CAGAAUUGCAGAUGGAUUCAAUGGAAUUUUCUCUGAUCAUUGUUACAGUGUCUGUUCUAUGAGACAGCCAGAUUUAAAAUAUUUUGACAACAAAGAUGGAGUCUCGCUUUGUCGCCCAGGCUGGAGUGCAGCAGCGCGAUCUUGGCUCACUGCAACCUCCGCCUCCCAGGUUCAAGCAAUUCUCCUGCCUUAGCUUCCUGAGUAGCUGGGGUUACAGAUGAUGAUUCUGAUACCGAGACGUCAAAUGACUUGCCAAAAUUUGCAGAUGGAAUCAAGGCCAGAAACAGAAAUCAGAACUACCUGGUUCCCAGUCCUGUACUUAGAAUUCUAGACCACACUGCCUUUUCUACAGAAAAAUCUGCUGAUAUUGUAAUUUGUGAUGAAGAGUGUGACUCACCUGAAUCAGUCAACCAGCAAACCCAAGAGGAGAGUCCUAUAGAAGUUCACACUGCUGAAGAUGUUCCAAUUGCUGUAGAAGUGCAUGCGAUUUCUGAGGAUUAUGAUAUAGAGACAGAAAACAAUUCCUCUGAGAGUCUCCAAGACCAAACUGAUGAAGAACCGCCAGCUAAACUUUGUAAAAUUCUUGACAAGAGCCAAGCUUUGAAUGUGACUGCCCAGCAGAAAUGGCCUUUACUGAGAGCUAAUAGCAGUGGCCUCUAUAAAUGUGAACUUUGUGAGUUUAACAGCAAAUAUUUUUCUGACUUAAAGCAGCAUAUGAUCCUGAAGCAUAAACGUACUGAUUCAAAUGUGUGUCGAGUAUGCAAGGAAAGUUUCUCUACCAAUAUGCUUCUGAUAGAACAUGCCAAACUGCAUG
rnacentral:lncRNA from 10 species